UUGGGAAUAUUGCGCAAUGGACGAAAGUCUGACGCAGCGACGCCGCGUGAAGGAAGACGGCCUUCGGGUUGUAAACUUCUUUUAUAAAUGACGAUUGUGACGGUAAUUUAUGAAUAAGGACCUGCUAACUACGUGCCAGCAGCAGCGGUAAUACGUAGGGUCCAAGCGUUGUCCGGAUUUAUUGGGCGUAAAGAGCAUGUAGGUUGUUUGAUGUGUCGUGUCUUAAAGCUUCGGGCUCAACUCGAAAAUAGGACACGAAACUAUCAAGCUUUGAGGAUAGUAGGGGCAAGUGGAACUAGCGGAGUAGCAGUGAAAUGCGUUGAUCUCGCUAAGAACACCAAUGGCGAAGGCAACUUGCUAGACUAUCUCUGACACUGAGAUGCGAAAGCGUGGGGAGCGAACGGG
rnacentral:rRNA from 1 species